CCGGGAAAGCGCGCAAUUCAGAGGCAGAGUGUUUCCAAUGUUUGAGAUACUUUAGAAUGUUUGCUUUGGGAGGUCAAAAUUGUUGACUAUGGCUAACUAUUCCCAAGAAGAGCUAGAUGAAGAGUUUGAACAGUUUAUGAAAGAGCUUUCAGAUGAUUCUUUUGAAAAUUCAGACAAAACAGCUAGACAAUCUAAAAAAGAGAUGAAGAAGAAAGAUACAGUACCUUGGUGGAUAACUGAAGAUGAUUUUAAAGAUGGACUGCUUGGAACAAAUGUGAGCUAUUUGAAAACAAAGAAGACUUCUCAGCCUGUUAUGGAAAUAGAAGAGGAAUCUGCUGAAAAGAUUCAAUUUCUUAAGAGCAGUGGAACCUCUCUCUUAAGUACUGAUAGCUUAGAAACAAAUGAACUAGUAGUUUCUGAGCUCAACCAUAGUAUUCUCGGAGUGGGAUUGGACACAUUAGAAGAACAAGAGGAGAAAGAACAAUUUUUUGCCAGGCUUGAGAAAGGCUUGACAUCUUCCAUUGAUUAUUCGAGAUUAAAUAAGGAAUUGGAUUCUAAUGACUCUACACAUUUUAAAGCUUUACAUAGUAAUCAAGCCAACACAGAACUAACUGAUGAUGAACAUGAGAAUGAAUCGAAACAUGAAGAACUGGCAGAAAAUUACAGUGAUGAUUUUGAAGAUGAGUAUGUUGGUGCGCCGUUGACUACUAAAGAUGAAGAGACGCCUUCCAAAGAGAAUUCCAAAUCAGAAAAAAUAACUGUACCCAAACAGGAAGAAGAAAAAACUGGCAUGCUUGCUAAUGUUGUGCUGCUUGAUUCAUUGGACUCUGUUGCAGAGGUCAGUCUUGAUGAACAAGAUAAAAUAACACCUAAGCCAAGGGGCCUACCAGAAAUGACUGAGAAUGAAAUGACAGAAACAGGUGUUUCUUAUGGACAAAGCAGUAGUGACAUUGAAGCCCUACGUCAAGCUUAUUGUCAUAUAGCCCAUUCAUUGGGAGAUGAAGACAAACAAAAAAUUGAGAGUAACACAGUGGAAGAUAUCAAGAGCACAGUGAAAGGUCAUCCUCAAGAAAAUGAAGAGAAUUCAAAAAACAUCUCUACUAUGGAAUCUGAUCUGCCCACAGUAGAGGAGCUGAUGAAACCUAUCAGAAUAGAUUCCUUUGGGAUCAGUGGUUUUGAUUUACAACCUGUCAGCUCUGAGAAAGUGGCCGAAAGAAAAGAAACUGAAUUUUUUAGCUCUUUACCCCUGAAGAUGAACCCAAAUAUUAUAUCUCAAGACUCACAACAUGUGAACCUUUUUUUUGACAAAAAUGAUGAGAAUGUGAUUUUACAAAAGACCACAAAUGAGAGUAUGGAAGACAGCUGUCCACAAGUAACUGCCACAGAAGAACAUGUUGAUAAAAUGUACCUUAAUAUUUUGAGGAAAAAAAUAUCUGUUAAUUCUUCAUCAUCUCAGGAUGACAAAAUUAGUAAAACUUACAGAUCUCAACUUAGUUCUGAAGAAGAAGGGGCUGUAAUGGGUAAACAGGUACCAUACAAGAAGGCCAGAAGUGCACCUCCUUUACUUAAAAGGAAACCCCAGAGUGGAUUAUAUGCGUCAGUUAGGAGCUCAGGCUAUGGCAAACCCAGUUCACCACUCAAGAUGUUUUCUACUCUUGAAAAGAAAACUUCAGAGGAAAUUAUAAAAAGCAAAAACUUGAGAUCGAUUUCCACCUCCAGUCAACCUAGGAAAAAAGAAAUCUUAUCUGGAACAAAACUCAUCAAGCCUGCAGCUUUGGAUAAACCAACUCCCAAAACUGAAAGUUGCCUGUCUACUCCUAAGAAGUCUGAAAAUCCCACAGAAACUGAUUCCUGUAUUCAGUUUCAGACUGUAGGAUUCCUUAGGAUACUGUGGUGAGAACAAGGAGAAGGAAUUACUUAUGUUUAAAAGAGUUCAGGAAGCAGAGGAAAAAUGGAGGGGUGCACAAGCCUUAAUUGAGCAAAUUAAAGCCACAUUCUCAGAAAAGGAGAAAGAACUAGAAAAUAAGUUGGAAGAACUAAAGAAACAACAGGAAAAA
rnacentral:sRNA from 1 species